GACGAACCGUGCGAACGUUGUUCGGAAUCACUGGGCUUAAAGGGCGCGUAGGCGGGUCACCAAGUCCGGGGUGAAAUCCCCCAGCUCAACUGGGGAAGUGCCUUAGAUACUGGUGGUCUUGAGGAGGGUAGGGGCAUCUGGAACGCUGGGUGGAGCGGUGAAAUGCGUUGAUAUCCAGCGGAACUCCGGUGGCGAAGGCGAGGUGCUGGACCCUUUCUGACGCUGAGGCGCGAAAGCCAGGGGAGCGAACGGG
rnacentral:rRNA from 1 species